GCCUGGCGCGAUGGUGAGUGCCUGUAGUCCCAGCUACUCAGGAGGCUGAGGCUGGAGAAUCGCUCGAGCCCAGGAGUUCUGGGCUGUAGUGUGCUAUGCUGAUCAGGUGUCCACACUAAGUUCGACAUCAAUAUGGUGACCUCCUGAGAGCAGGAGACCACCAGGUUGCCUAAGGUGGGGUGAACCGGCCCAGGUCGGAAACAGAGCAGGUCAAAACUCCCAUGCUGAUCAGUAGUGGGAUCGUGCUUGUGAAUAGCCACUGCACUCCAGCCUGGGCAACAUAGCGAGACCCCCAUCUCA
rnacentral:SRP_RNA from 1 species